rnacentral:lncRNA from 1 species
GAGAGAAUGAGGCUGUCCGCUCCGCUGAGUGACUGCAAGGAAGAAAGACAUGCAGUGAGUGCGCCUUAGAAAUUCAGUCUUGGCUCCCAGCUCUGGACCCAAGAGCCAGUGAAGAAGUUUGGACUCAGAAUAGACUCAAUGGUGAAGAGACAGCGCUCACCAUACUGUGCCAGGCAGUGAGAGCCACGGGGAAGACAACAUGGGACCGACCUGAG